rnacentral:rRNA from 1 species
UGGGGAAUAUUGCACAAUGGGGGAAACCCUGAUGCAGCGACGCCGCGUGAGCGAAGAAGGCCUUCGGGUCGUAAAGCUCUUUUAUGAGGGAAGAUAAUGACGGUACCUCAAGAAAAAGCCCCGGCUAACUACGUGCCAGCAGCCGCGGUAAUACGUAGGUCCCGAGCGUUGUCCGGAUUUAUUGGGCGUAAAGCGAGCGCAGGCGGUUAGAAAAGUCUGAAGUGAAAGGCAGUGGCUCAACCAUUGUAGGCUUUGGAAACUGUUUAACUUGAGUGCAGAAGGGGAGGGUGGAAUUCCAUGUGUAGCGGUGAAAUGCGUAGGUAUAUGGAGGGACACCGGUGGCGAAAGCGGCUCUCUGGUCUGUAACUGACGCUGAGGCUCGAAAGCGUGGGGAGCGAACAGG